GCGCGGGUGGUCUAGUCUGGCAUGACAAGGGCCUUCCAAGCCCUUAACCCGGAUUCAAAUUCCGGUCCGCGCA
rnacentral:tRNA from 1 species